UCUCGUUGGUGACCAGCGGAGGGAUCAUUACCGAGUUUACAACUCCCAAACCCAAUGUGAACCAUACCAAACUGUUGCCUCGGCGGGGUCACGCCCCGGGUGCGUCGCAGCCCCGGAACCAGGCGCCCGCCGGAGGGACCAACCAAACUCUUUACUGUAGUCCCCUCGCGGACGUUAUUUCUUACAGCUCUGAGCAAAAAAUUCAAAAUGAAUCAAAACUUUCAACAACGGAUCUCUUGGUUCUGGCAUCGAUGAAGAACGCAGCGAAAUGCGAUAAGUAAUGUGAAUUGCAGAAUUCAGUGAAUCAUCGAAUCUUUGAACGCACAUUGCGCCCGCCAGUAUUCUGGCGGGCAUGCCUGUCCGAGCGUCAUUUCAACCCUCGAACCCCUCCGGGGGGUCGGCGUUGGGGAUCGGGAACCCCUCAGACGGGAUCCCGGCCCCGAAAUACAGUGGCGGUCUCGCCGCAGCCUCUCCUGCGCAGUAGUUUGCACAACUCGCACCGGGAGCGCGGCGCGUCCACGUCCGUAAAACACCCAACUUUCUGAAAUGUUGACCUCGGAUCAGGUAGGAAUACCCGCUGAACUUAAGCAUAUCAAUA
rnacentral:rRNA from 1 species